UUGGUUAUCUGAUUCGUCAAUUCUCAACCUCUUACUGAGGUCCUUCGAAGAACUGCAGAGUUGGUCAUCAACGCAAUUUUUUUGCACCCAUGAAGCAAACCAAUCCACAGACUAAGGCGGCAACUCCUGGUUGAGAAUUGGGUUUUACCCUCGCUACCUCCAGUUGCCUUCUUCUUUAUUGAGUCUACAGAUAUCUCAGAUAGGCAAUCCUCCUCGAUUGCGAAUUUGGGGAAGUUGCGCUGAGCCGAAAGACCAGUGAAUUUCAGCAGAGCAAAAAAGCAAACUCCCAUGGUUUCCAAGGCACAGGUACUAGACAUAUUCAAGAAGGAAGCUCCCUCAACUUCCCAAAGAUGAUAAAUUAUCUAUGAUUUCUAAACGAUUGCCGAAGUCUUUUUUUUUUUUUUAACAUUGUGAAAGAUGUACAUGUAUUAUGCUAUACAAAUUCGUCAAUAGUGACUGUACAAGUCGAAUCUAGACCCGAUGGGCCAUCGAAUGAGCUUUUGCCAUGAAAAUUGGUUUGCAUCAUUAUUCAAUUAGCAUGACAUCCUUAUAUGAUUUCUCUCUUGAAUGUACGAGUGCUUAGGGUGUUCUCAAAAUACAAGACAUAUUUGUGGAAGAGAAAAUGAGAGCUCAAACAAUAUCUAUACCCCAGAUGAAUC
rnacentral:lncRNA from 1 species